AAACGGGUGCGGAACACGUACACAACCUUCCUUUAAGUGGGGGAUAGCCCAGAGAAAUUUGGAUUAAUACCCCGUAAGAUUAUUUAGUGGCAUCACUGGAUAAUUAAAGCUCCGGCGCUUGGAGAUGGGUGUGCGUCUGAUUAGGUAGUUGGUGUAGGUAACGGCUCACCAAGCCUUCGAUCAGUAACUGGUGUGAGAGCACGACCAGUCACACGGGCACUGAGACACGGGCCCG
rnacentral:rRNA from 1 species